ACACACUUUCACCAUUUUUCCUGUAAAAAAAGAAUUCCCACUUAUUCAAUCGUAAUUAGUGUUUACAAGAAUUCAUUUAGAAAAAUCGAUAAAUCAUAUGAAAUUCGGGAAAGAAUUCAGGAUGCACUUAGAGAAAACCCUACCUUCAUGGAGGGAUAAGUUUCUGUGCUACAAGGUCCUGAAGAAGCUGCUGAAGAAUGUUCCCGCCGCCGCCGAUAAUCCGCCGCGGGGCGUGGGUGCGGCUGUUCCUAUGCUGCCGUUGCCGGAGCUCCACGUAUGGUUUGUCACGAUUCUCAACGAGGAGCUUGAAAAGUUCAACGAUUUCUACGUCGAAAAGGAGGAGGACUUUAUCAUCCGCUUCCAGGUUUUUUUUUUUUUUGGCCUUUUCUUCUGAUGAAAUUCAUCGAUUUUGUUUGUGCAAUUUUUUGUUUUGAUUUUUUUGAUGAGAUUCGUAAAUUCAAAUUAGGCGUAAUAAACAUUGAUUUGAUUUCAAUUUGGGAAUUAGGGUGAGGACAAUUUUAUGUUAAUUCGUUGUUUUAAUGAAAUACUGGACCGCUUAAAUAUUUUGAAAAUUGAGCUACUCAAAACUCAUAGUGGUAGGGUUUUAUUGCUUAAAAAGUGGCAAAAUUGAGCAUUUGAAUUUAAGAAUUAAAAAAAAAAAAAUUAAAAAAUUGGCUUGAAGGAGAAGAGAUUUUAAGAAUUUAUACCGUUCACAGAUAAUGUCAGGCUUCUCUUGCCUCCUUGUCAACGUAGAAACCGUCGAACUUUUCCGAACCAAGAAAACCGAUGAACUUGUGUUAAACUGCAAAAUGUCACAUUAGAUUGAUGAAGUUUGUUAGGACAGCUUAUGCGAUGAGUGCACGAGAGAAGCUAAAAACGGAGAUGUUAUUUAUUUGGAUCAUACGAGAUGAUGUUGACAGAGUAGUGGGUAUGGAAGAGAAGAAAAAAACAUGAAUUAUAGUACUCAUCAACAUGUUAAAGUGGGCAUCGGUUUUCGAAGUUUUGAUGGUUCAAAAGAAUAUGUGAAGGUAUAUUCCAUUUUUUUUAUGGGAUUUGUUUAUUUUGGCCUGACUGGGAUUAGCUUACUGCAACACAUGUAUUGUUAAUGGGCUCCAGAUGUGUCAAAAUUAGUUUUUAUUAAUGUGUAAAUAUGCUUCCGUGACGUGCUC
rnacentral:lncRNA from 1 species